UACGUAGGGGGCAAGCGUUGUCCGGAAUCAUUGGGCGUAAAGCGCGUGUAGGCGGCCCGGUAAGUCCGCUGUGAAAGUCGGGGCUCAACCCUCGAAUGCCGGUGGAUACUGUCGGGCUAGAGUGCGGGAGAGGCGAGUGGAAUUCCUGGUGAUAGCGGUGAAAUGCGCAGACUAUCAGGAGGAACACCAAUUGCGAAGGCAGCUCGCUGGAACGUAACUGACGCGUGAGAACGCGA
rnacentral:rRNA from 1 species